rnacentral:ncRNA from 2 species
AUGAAUAUCGUUGGGAUAGGCGCCCUACGGGGCUUAAUAGGGAAGACCGGUGAAAAACCGGCGCGGUCCCGCCACUGUAACGGGGAGUGAUUUCGCAGUAUGCCACUGGAGCCUUUGGCUUUGGGAAGGCGCGGGAUUGCUAUGAACCGGAGCCAGGAGAACUGCCUUAUCCAGCAAUCGCCG